GAGGUCGUUACGACGGCGAUGGCGCCUUCAGAUAUCGCGCAAAUACUUCCAACCGGCGCCGAUCGGACUAUUUGCGCGGAUCCCGAUGGCGUCGAGGUGUCCAUGAUCAGAAGAGGGUUCAUGAUGGCGCACACCAACAGUUUAGAUCGAUGGAGUUUGUGUACCGAGGGGAAGACGAUGGGAGAUGAGCUUGUGGCAACUUGUAUUUUAGCUGGCUGGAGUUGUAUGCAUCGGUGAAGUACAUGAUCGGGAUAACUGUGACAACUUGAUAGGGAGAGAUGUGACACCUUAAAAGGGAAUAUGAGUAAUCAAGAGCGAUAAACAUUAUUUAAGUUUACGUCAAAUUGCUCAAGUGCAAU